rnacentral:rRNA from 1 species
AACGAACGCUGGCGGCAUGCCUAACACAUGCAAGUCGAACGAGACCUUCGGGUCUAGUGGCGCACGGGUGCGUAACGCGUGGGAACCUGCCCUUAGGUUCGGCAUAACUCCCCGAAAGGGGUGCUAAUACCGGCUAAUGUCUUCGAACCAAAGAUUUAUCGCCUUUGGAUGUGCCCGCGUUGGAUUAGCUAGUUGGUAGGGUAAAACCCUACCAAGGCGACGAUCCAUAACUGGUUUGAGAGGCUGCUCAGCCACACUGGGACUGGGACACGGCCCAGACUCUUACGGGAGGCAGCAGUGGGGAAUAUUGGACAAUGGGCGAAAGCCUGAUCCAGCAAUGCCGCGUGAGUGAUGAAGGCCUUAGGGUUGUAAAGCUCGUUUACCCGUGAUGAUAAUGACAGUACCGGGAGAAUAAGCUCCGGCUAACUCCGUG